rnacentral:rRNA from 1 species
AGUGAACGCUGGCGGCGUGCUUAACACAUGCAAGUCGAACGAGAACGGAAUAUAGCUUGCUAUAUUUGUCAGCUAAGUGGCGCACGGGUGAGUAAUGUAUAGAUAACCUGCCCUUAAGAAAGGAAUAACAGUUGGAAACGACUACUAAUGCCCUAUAUGCCUUUAAUACAUAAGUAUGCAAGGGAAACGCUUUAGUGCUUAAGGAUGGGUCUGUAUGGUAUCAGCUUGUUGGUGAGGUAAUGGCUCACCAAGGCUAUGACGCCUAACUGGUUUGAGAGGAUGAUCAGUCACGAUGGAACUGAGACACGGUCCAGACUCCUACGGGAGGCAGCAGUGGGGAAUAUUGCACAAUGGACGAAAGUCUGAUGCAGCAACGCCGCGUGGAGGAUGACACAUUUCGGUGCGUAAACUCCUUUUAUAUAGGAAGAUAAUGACGGUACUAUAUGAAUAAGCACCGGCUAACUCCGUGCCAGCCGCCGCGGUAA